rnacentral:rRNA from 1 species
GAUGAACGCUGGCUACAGGCUUAACACAUGCAAGUCGAGGGGAAACGACGGGGAAGCUUGCUUCCCCGGGCGUCGACCGGCGCACGGGUGAGUAACGCGUAUCCAACCUGCCUCUGACUGAGGGAUAACCCGUCGAAAGUCGGCCUAAUACCUCAUGGUAUCGUCUGCGGGCAUCCAACGACGAUUAAAGAUUUCAUCGGUCAGGGAUGGGGAUGCGUCUGAUUAGCUUGUUGGCGGGGUAACGGCCCACCAAGGCUACGAUCAGUAGGGGUUCUGAGAGGAAGGUCCCCCACAUUGGAACUGAGACACGGUCCAAACUCCUACGGGAGGCAGCAGUGAGGAAUAUUGAUCAAUGGGCGAGAGCCUGAACCAGCCAAGUAGCGUGCAGGAAGACGGCCCUAUGGGUUGUAAACUGCUUUUAUGCGGGGAUAAAGUGAGGGACGUGUCCCUCAUUGCAGGUACCGCAUGAAUAAGGACCGGCUAAGUCCGUG